GGAUCAUUACCGAGAUAGGGUCCCUUUUCGGGGACUCGACCCUCCCACCCUUUGUGUAUUUACCUCUGUUGCUUUGGCGGAUGCCGCGGCGUACGGUCGUGCGAGACACACCGCGCCCGGCCCGCCAGAAGCCCAUUCAAUUCCGACUGUAUCAAUGACGUCUGAGCACACUCUGCAAAAUAAUAAAACUUUCAACAACGGAUCUCUUGGUUCUGGCAUCGAUGAAGAACGCAGCGAAAUGCGAUAAGUAAUGUGAAUUGCAGAAUUCAGUGAAUCAUCGAAUCUUUGAACGCACAUUGCGCCCUCUGGUAUUCCGGGGGGCAUGCCUGUUCGAGCGUCAUUACACCUCUCAAGCUCUGCUUGGUAUUGGGCUUUCGUCCCCCGUGGACGGGCCUGAAAAUCAGUGGCAGUCCAGCCGAUGCUCAAGCGUAGUAAUAUUAUAUCCCGCUUUGGAGUUACCGGGUGGACCCGCCAGACAACCCUAUUGUAUUUUCAAUGGUUGACCUCGGAUCAGGUAGGGAUACCCGCUG
rnacentral:rRNA from 1 species